GACGAACGCUGGCGGCGUGCUUAACACAUGCAAGUCGAGCGGUAAGGCCCUUUCGGGGGUACACGAGCGGCGAACGGGUGAGUAACACGUGGGUGACCUGCCCUUAGCUCUGGGAUAAGCCUGGGAAACUGGGUCUAAUACCGGAUGUGACUCCAUGACGCAUGUUGUGGGGUGGAAAGCCUUGUGCGGCUAGGGAUGGGCCCGCGGCCUAUCAGCUUGUUGGUGGGGUGAUGGCCACCAAGGCGACGACGGGUAGCCGGCCUGAGAGGGCGACCGGCCACACUGGGACUGAGACACGGCCCAGACUCCUACGGGAGGCAGCAGUGGGGAAUCUUGCGCAAUGGGCGAAAGCCUGACGCAGCGACGCCGCGUGGGGAUGACGGCCU
rnacentral:rRNA from 1 species